rnacentral:rRNA from 1 species
UACGUAUGGUGCAAGCGUUAUCCGGAUUUACUGGGUGUAAAGGGAGCGCAGGCGGCACGGCAAGCCUGAUGUGAAAGCCCGCGGCCCAACCGCGGGACUGCAUUGGGAACUACCGGGCUGGAGUGCCGGAGAGGUAGGCGGAAUUCCUAGUGUAGCGGUGAAAUGCGUAGAUAUUAGGAGGAACACCAGUGGCGAAGGCGGCCUACUGGACGAUGACUGACGCUGAGGCUCGAAAGCGUGGGGAGCAAACAGG